rnacentral:rRNA from 1 species
GAUGAACGCUGGCGGCGUGCCUAAUACAUGCAAGUCGAGCGAACGGACGAGAAGCUUGCUUUUCUGAUGUUAGCGGCGGACGGGUGAGUAACACGUGGAUAACCUACCUAUAAGACUGGGAUAACUUCGGGAAACCGGAGCUAAUACCGGAUAAUAUUUUGAACCGCAUGGUUCAAAAGUGAAAGACGGUCUUGCUGUCACUUAUAGAUGGAUCCGCGCUGCAUUAGCUAGUUGGUAAGGUAACGGCUUACCAAGGCAACGAUGCAUAGCCGACCUGAGAGGGUGAUCGGCCACACUGGAACUGAGACACGGUCCAGACUCCUACGGGAGGCAGCAGUAGGGAAUCUUCCGCAAUGGGCGAAAGCCUGACGGAGCAACGCCGCGUGAGUGAUGAAGGUCUUCGGAUCGUAAAACUCUGUUAUUAGGGAAGAACAUAUGUGUAAGUAACUGUGCACAUCUUGACGGUACCUAAUCAGAAAGCCACGGCUAACUACGUGCCAGCAGCCGCGGUAAUACGUAGGUGGCAAGCGUUAUCCGGAAUUAUUGGGCGUAAAGCGCGCGUAGGCGGUUUUUUAAGUCUGAUGUGAAAGCCCACGGCUCAACCGUGGAGGGUCAUUGGAAACUGGAAAACUUGAGUGCAGAAGAGGAAAGUGGAAUUCCAUGUGUAGCGGUGAAAUGCGCAGAGAUGUGGAGGGACACCAGUGGCGAAGGCGACUUUCUGGUCUGUAACUGACGCUGAUGUGCGAAAGCGUGGGGAUCAAACAGGAUUAGAUACCCUGGUAGUCCACGCCGUAAACGAUGAGUGCUAAGUGUUAGGGGGUUUCCGCCCCUUAGUGCUGCAGCUAACGCAUUAAGCACUCCGCCUGGGGAGUACGACCGCAAGGUUGAAACUCAAAGGAAUUGACGGGGGCCCGCACAAGCGGUGGAGCAUGUGGUUUAAUUCGAAGCAACGCGAAGAACCUUACCAAAUCUUGACAUCCUUUGACAACUCUAGAGAUAGAGCCUUCCCCUUCGGGGGACAAAGUGACAGGUGGUGCAUGGUUGUCGUCAGCUCGUGUCGUGAGAUGUUGGGUUAAGUCCCGCAACGAGCGCAACCCUUAAGCUUAGUUGCCAUCAUUAAGUUGGGCACUCUAAGUUGACUGCCGGUGACAAACCGGAGGAAGGUGGGGAUGACGUCAAAUCAUCAUGCCCCUUAUGAUUUGGGCUACACACGUGCUACAAUGGACAAUACAAAGGGCAGCGAAACCGCGAGGUCAAGCAAAUCCCAUAAAGUUGUUCUCAGUUCGGAUUGUAGUCUGCAACUCGACUACAUGAAGCUGGAAUCGCUAGUAAUCGUAGAUCAGCAUGCUACGGUGAAUACGUUCCCGGGUCU